rnacentral:rRNA from 1 species
AGAACGAACGCUGGCGGCAGGCCUAACACAUGCAAGUCGAACGCGAUCUUCGGAUCGAGUGGCGCACGGGUGAGUAACGCGUGGGAAUCUGCCCUGUGGUACGGAAUAACAUCGGGAAACUGGUGCUAAUACCGUAUAUCCCCUGAGGGGGAAAGAUUUAUCGCCAUGGGAGGAGCCCGCGUAGGAUUAGCUAGUUGGUGAGGUAAAGGCUCACCAAGGCGACGAUCCUUAGCUGGUCUGAGAGGAUGAUCAGCCACACUGGGACUGAGAUACGGCCCAGACUCCUACGGGAGGCAGCAGUGGGGAAUAUUGGACAAUGGGGGAAACCCUGAUCCAGCCAUGCCGCGUGUGUGAUGAAGGCCUUCGGGUUGUAAAGCACUUUCGCACGUGACGAUGAUGACGGUAACGUGAGAAGAAGCCCGACUAACUUCGCGCCAGCAGCCGC